rnacentral:tRNA from 1 species
GCCUUGAUGUUGAAAUGGUAGACACGCGAGACUCAAAAUCUCGUGUUGAAGUGUGUGGAGGUUUGAGUCCUCUUCAAGGCA